rnacentral:rRNA from 1 species
GAUGAACGCUAGCGGCAGGCUUAACACAUGCAAGUCGAGGGGUAUAGGUUUUCGGACCUAGAGACCGGCGCACGGGUGCGUAACGCGUAUGCAAUCUACCUUUCACAGAGGGAUAGCCCAGAGAAAUUUGGAUUAAUACCUCAUAGUAUUAUGAAGUGGCAUCAUUUUAUAAUUAAAGUUCCAACGGUGAAAGAUGAGCAUGCGUCCCAUUAGCUAGAUGGUAAGGUAACGGCUUACCAUGGCUACGAUGGGUAGGGGUCCUGAGAGGGAGAUCCCCCACACUGGUACUGAGACACGGACCAGACUCCUACGGGAGGCAGCAGUGAGGAAUAUUGGUCAAUGGACGCAAGUCUGAACCAGCCAUGCCGCGUGCAGGAUGACGGUCCUAUGGAUUGUAAACUGCUUUUGUACGAGAAGAAGCACUCCUUCGUGAAGGAGCUUGACGGUAUCGUAAGAAUAAGGAUCGGCUAACUCCGUGCCAGCCGCCGCAGUAACAC